UCAGAACCAGGAAAUGGUGUCUUCCUGCACAAGAACUGUCCCGUAUUCUUCGGGUCUGAUGGCGCCUACAAAUAG
rnacentral:ncRNA from 1 species